rnacentral:rRNA from 1 species
UACGUAGGGGGCGAGCGUUGUCCGGAGUUACUGGGCGUAAAGGGCAUGCAGGCGGUCGGACGCGUUUCGGGUGACAGCGGGUGGCUUAACUACCCGAGUGGUCGAAAGACGGUUUGACUUGAGGACGCGAGAGGGACACGGAAUUCCGGGUGGAGUGGUGAAAUGCGUAGAGAUCCGGAGGAACACCGGAAGGCGAAGGCAGUGUCCUGGCGCGUAACUGACGCUGAGGUGCGAAAGCCAGGGGAGCGAACGGG